UACGUAGGGGGCGAGCGUUGUCCGGAAUCAUUGGGCGUAAAGAGCGUGUAGGCGGUUCGGUAAGUCCGCCGUGAAAACCUGGGGCUCAACCCCGGGCGUGCGGUGGAUACUGUCGGGCUAGAGGAUGGUAGAGGGGAGUGGAAUUCCCGGUGUAGCGGUGAAAUGCGCAGAUAUCGGGAGGAACACCAGUAGCGAAGGCGGCUCCCUGGGCCAUUCCUGACGCUGAGACGCGAAAGCGUGGGGAGCGAACAGG
rnacentral:rRNA from 1 species